UACGGAGGGUGCAAGCGUUAAUCGGAAUUACUGGGCGUAAAGCGUGCGUAGGUGGCUUGAUAAGCCGGUUGUGAAAUCCCCGGGCUUAACCUGGGAAUGGCAUCCGGAACUGUCAAGCUAGAGUGCAGGAGAGGGAGGUAGAAUUCCCGGUGUAGCGGUGAAAUGCGUAGAGAUCGGGAGGAAUACCAGUGGCGAAGGCGGCCUGCUGGACUGACACUGACACUGAGGUGCGAAAGCGUGGGUAGCAAACAUG
rnacentral:misc_RNA from 1 species